AUGGCAGCCUUAGCACCUGUACAAGGCGGAGCAUUGGGAGGGGCCCGAGCGUACAUGCAUAGGGAUACCGUAGAUAGGAAGUCUUCGCGAUCCAUUAUUCCCCAUCUCGUAGUACUAGUAGAAUUGAGAUUUAAUGCACUUUCUUCCCCGUCUUUCACUCUUCUUCCUCCUCUCUUCCCCAUCGUCGACCGCACACCAUCCCCCCCCCUCGCUCACUGCUCGCCCGCCCGCGCCAUCUUCCUUGGUAGCUCACGCGUACCAUAUCCCCCCGCUCACUGCUCGGCCACACAUGCCAUCUUCUUCGCUCGCCCGCCCGAAUCCACUUCCCCGCUGGCUCACAGGCACCGAAAACCCCAGUCACUCAGCGCCCUAAAAACCCUAUGGCAGAACAAACUGACACGCAGAGCCGCGAUUGGAAUUCCCUCCCCGAUGUUCUCUUGGAGCAGAUCUGAUUUUUAUAACAACGCAUCAGACGCAAAUCCGUUGGCCUUCAUGAUUCCAGAACCAGGAAUCAUACCAGCCGAUGGAAUUAACCGAUGCAAGUCCAAGAAGGAUUGGCCGGUGCUGGCGGCUGGCGUCAAGUUCGAUCCCACGGAUCAGGAGCUGAUCGAGCACCUUGAGGCCAAAGUGACUGCUGACACUGCGAGAUCUCACCCUCUCAUCGAUUUGUUCAUACCAACCAUCGACAGCGAGCACGACAUAUGCUACACCCAUCCUGAGAAACUUCCAGGUAUCACAGUGAGUGGCCUAAGCAAGCAUUUCUUCCAGCGCAAUUCCAGGGCGUUCAAAAGGGGUACGUGGACGCGUCGCAAGAUACAGUCGGAGUGCGGCAUGCACGCGAUUUGGCACAAGACCGGCAAUACCUUGCCGGUGGUGGUCAACGGCCGUCAGACGGGCAGCAAAAAGGUUCUGGUGCUGCACACCAACAAGAACUUCGACCAGCAGAGGACCAACUGGGUGAUGCACCAGUAUGAACUCGGGGACUUGGAGCAAGAGAAGGAGCGGGAGCUGGUCCUCUGCAAGAUUUUCUACCAGACGAACACUAGGGCCAGGAGUAAAAAGAUUAUAAGUUAG
rnacentral:rRNA from 1 species